CCUACGGGUGGCUGCAGUGGGGAAUAUUGGACAAUGGGCGAAAGCCUGAUCCAGCCAUGCCGCGUGUGUGAAGAAGGCCUUCGGGUUGUAAAGCACUUUCAGUGGGGAAGAAAGCCUUGGGGCUAAUACCCUCGAGGAAGGACAUCACCCACAGAAGAAGCACCGGCUAACUCCGUGCCAGCAGCCGCGGGAAUACGGAGGGUGCGAGCGUUAAUCGGAAUUACUGGGCGUAAAGCGCGCGUAGGCGGUCUGAUAAGCCGGUUGUGAAAGCCCCGGGCUCAACCUGGGAACGGCAUCCGGAACUGUCAGGCUAGAGUGCAGGAGAGGAAGGUAGAAUUCCCGGUGUAGCGGUGAAAUGCGUAGAGAUCGGGAGGAAUACCAGUGGCGAAGGCGGCCUUCUGGACUGACACUGACGCUGAGGUGCGAAAGCGUGGGUAGCAAACAGGAUUAGAUACCCGAGUAGUC
rnacentral:rRNA from 1 species